rnacentral:rRNA from 1 species
UACGUAGGUUGCAAGCGUUACUCGGAAUCACUAGGCGUAAAGCGCAGGUAGGCGGUUUGGUAAGUCUGUUGUGAAAGCUCCCGGCUCAACUGGGAGAGGCCAACGGAAACUACCAGGCUAGAGUGUGGUAGAGGAAGCUAGAAUUCCCGGUGUAGCGGUGAAAUGCGUAGAUAUCGGGAGGAAUACCUAUGGCGAAGGCAGCUCGCUGGGACGGUACUGACGCUGAGGCGCGAAAGCGUGGGGAGCAAACAGG